AUGGCACCCGAUCUCUCAGACAUAUCAAAUACACCACUCAGCUUGUUGUCAUCCACCAGCUUGCUGAGGGUGCACUUGAUCCCACUGUUGUUGUUGUUGAUGAAGAUAUUAAACCACACUGAUUCCAGUAUUGACUUGAAGGACACCACUUGUCCCUGAUCUCCAUUCAGACCUAGAGCCAUUGACCAUAACUCUCUGGGUACAAUUUCACAAACAGUUCCUUGUACACUGAAAAGUCCACCCAUCAAAUCUGUAUCUUUCCAAUUCAGAGAGAAGAAUGUUCACAUCUAAAGCCUUAGUGCAGUCUAGAUGACUGCACACUAGAUGAAAUCAGUGGCUCUUCUCUUGUCCAUUGAUGUAGUUACACCAUCAUAGAAGGCUGCUAGGUUGUCCAAGCAGGACUUGACCUUUGUGAAGCCAUAGUAGUUCUUUCAAAUCACCCCCUGUAUGGGAACUGUUGAUCACGGCCUGAUGCUCUGAUUGACCACCUGAGGCGAGCACUGAAUCAGCUGCAGGAGCACAGGUGAAGGCAAUUCUCCUGUGCUACCAGGAAGGGGUAGAGCCUGCCUUCACCUCUCCUAGACCCCAUUUAAUGGCUGACUGCCACUGAGGAAGGAUCUCUCUCUGGAGAUCACUCCUUGUGGAGUUUACUGUGAGCCUACAACACUGAAUAGCUUCAAGGAGGAUCCUUCCAUCAUCUUUCUCUGUGCAGAGGUGCAUGUGAUCAGCUCUUGAGGAAACAGGAGAAGUGAAGCAAGAAGAACAACCAGUUUAAUUCACUACAUCACAACUUGUGUUUGAGGGAGCCUGACUUUGCAGGGGGGCUGUUCUAGGAAAGAGCAGAUGACCUCCCAUGCAAUUGGUUACAACACCUGAAGGGUGUAAGCAUAGUAUGAUGGGAAAGAGGUAAAAUGGAUCAGAGCUCUUGUGUAAAGUGAGCCUCAGUUACAUUUCUGCUAUGGUAGAAUGCAAUAGCUGGGAUAUAGUGUGACCUGCCUCUGGUGACCCCAUUUUUGCCUAAAUUGCAGAGACUUGUGACUUGGCUCACUUAAAGUGUACCAGUUUGUUAGGUCAUUCCUUGUAUUAGGUGGAUAGCCUUGAAGACUUUGAAAAAGGAGGUUCUGACUGCAGUAGACAACUGAGGCAAAGAGGAUCUGAGAUGAGCAGAGAGGAAACCCUUAAAAGGUCUUUCUCUCUGGAUAGGGAUGUUCCAAAAUCUAUCCAGAACUUGUGGUAUUUGAAAAUCUUGCAUGGUUGUCCUAUGAUAUGAUGCCUGUUGUGUAUCCUAAAGAACUGAUGAAUUGCAAAUUGCUUUAUUAAAUGCUUUAGUUAAAUACUGAUCCAUAAUAGAUGCUUUGCAAAUGCAGUAAAUAAAGAAGAGGAACACAAACAGUCUUCUAAGAGAUCCAACAGCAAGUUGGGAGAGUCUGUGGAGUAGAAUUUCAUGGACUUCCAAUUCAGUUUCUAAUCAGUUCUGCAUGUCUGUCCUACAGUUAUAGCCCAGCAUCCCUGUAACAUUUUGUUAUUGCUGAAGAAUGUAUUCUGCUGCGGUAGCAACCUCAUUUUGCUGUCUGGUACAGCUUCUCUCAUCUUCCUGAAUGUCAAGAGGAAUCAGCCUUCUUCAGUCAGCAGUAGAUUUCAUGCCUUACCUAACAGGACCUUAAUUCUCAAGAGUGCACUUCAAGAGGAUUGAAGGAAGUAUGCUGUCAAGAGAGAUGAUGUAUCUGGUUAUCUCCUUUACAAAAGAGGCUUUCAACUACAUGUGUAAGGUAGAUUUAAACGUCUUAAGAAUAAUGUUUUGUUGUGCUAAGUGUCUCAAAGCUACUUUUAUCUCUACAUCACAUUCCUUGUAGCACAUAAAAGAAUUUUUAACAACGUAUAAAUGAUGCCUCUAUGAUACAGUUAGGAACUGAGAGUCUUUUAACUGAAAUGUGAAAAUGCAUACCAUUUCUGUCCACAAUUGAUUUUUUUCCAUUGCUUUUUGAAUCAGUAAGUAAUAUAUUUUUGUGAAUAAGUCUUAUUUUGGAUUUAGGCAAAAAAAUCUAAGUGGUGAAUUUCUCAAGUUGUCAUUUCAGAAUUGGUAAAUGACAAAUUGCUGCCUUUUUUUUUUCUCCCUGAUUUUUUUUUUAUUCUAGAGAGACCCCCAGCUCCAAGACUGGCAAAAACACAGAGUUUCAGUCUCCAGUGAGAUAAAAAAUAAAUAUAUAGAAAGAAGGGCUCCAGAGAAAAGAAUCAGGGAUGAGUAUCAGUUUGAUCUGUAUACUUCUCAGUAUUCAGGGAGUGCUUUAAGGUUGUCAGCAUCAUCAGAAAUUCACUUUAUAGUGUGAACCUCCAUAAGAAUAACUGUCCACACGUGCAAGUGAUCAGAAGUGCUGUUGCAGAGGACUGGAAAGUAUAAGGUAGAAAUCCCUGCAGUCAAUAUUCUUAAUCUUUCAAGGUGUGAAAGUUGGUCUCAUGGUGACCUUCCUGAGCUUUAGAAGGCUUAGGUCUGGCUGUACUUCUGUUGCAAAGCAAACUUUGUUGUGGUGUAGUUUGGACCUUUUCAGGAACUACUCCAUUAGAGGAGAACUGGGCACUAUGGUGGUCUGCCCUCCUCCAUAUUAACAGUUGAUCCAGUUUGCUCUGCCAUAUGAUAAGGAAUCAGCCCUGAAGGCCAUACUUGCACUUUCUGAAAAAGUUAAUCACUUCAGAUUUUCAGGAUAUGCAGGAAUUAUCUAGUCUUAAAUGGCCAUAUUUAUUUUUCUGUCUUAGCCUCAACCAGGUGCUAUCUUGUUAAAGAGUCAUGGACUUUUCUACUUGCUUUUCUGUUUCAACUUUGCAUGCUGAAGUUUUGACCCCACAAAAAAAAAAAAAAAUGCUUUUCAAUCUCAUUCAGUUUGUAGACUCCUAAGUUGUUUCCAGUGGAGAUCUUGUCCUUGUACAAUGAAUUUCAAUCUUUGGACUCCUUUUUUUAAUAUAUGUAGUUUGACAAGAGCCAGCAGUGUGCUCUUGCAGCCCAGAAAGCCAAAAGUAUCCUGAGCUGCAUCAAAAGAGGAGUGGCCAGCAUGGAGAAGGAGGGGAUUAUCCCCCUCUGCUUUGCCCUUGUGAGGCCCCUUCCAACCUAAGCCAUUUGAUGAUAUCAUAAUCUAGAGUUGCUAAGCAGUUGGAGUCACAGUAGGAAGUGAUAUAUAGAUCUCUCUCUC